rnacentral:misc_RNA from 1 species
GUGGUCAUUUUUGGAAUAAUUAUUGGCGUAUUCAUGAGCUUGAAGAAGUGCAAGAAAACUGCAAAAUCACCAAGUUCAGCAAGUUCUCAACCUGAAGGUUGUACCAAGGCAACCAUUGAACCAGACAGGCAACACAGAUUGGGGAUAGUGAGCGACCACCUGUACGAUUCAAUAACAGACACCAGUGCUCAUACAUAUAUGGCUCUUCGCCAACAAUAACGUAAAUUGAAAAUCAUGACGAAAAAAACCCAUAAUAAAAGCGUUACAAUUCAUAUAUACCCAUUAAUUUCAUAAUCAUAGUUUCGACUGUCCGCAAUUACAGAAAUGCAACUUUCAAAAUCAGUAUAUAGGUUCUCAAUUUCAUUACAACACCUGUAUAAGCAAACAACAGGGCAAGCAUAGUUCGGUAUUUUUUUUUUUGGAAAAAUUACACUUUUGCACUCUGUAAAAGUCAAACUGUUAUUUGCAAGGUUCCACAAUUAUUGUGCUACUGCAUCAUAUCAGGUGAUAAUACAAAAUAGAAAAAAAACAUGAACCAUAAAAACAAAUUCAGCUUUCUCAUGAUAGAAAUCAAAGAUAUUGAAUUUUUUGUGUAUAAGGCAAUUAGGAUUAAUUUUGAAAAAAUAAAACAAUCUCAUACCUAA